GUACUGCUGACGAGUUCCAAACAGGACGAAACAACUGUCUAGUGU
rnacentral:hammerhead_ribozyme from 1 species